rnacentral:rRNA from 1 species
GUACACGCUGUGACUAGCAUAUCAAUAAGCGGAGGAAAAGAAACUAACAAGGAUUCCCCUAGGUAACGGCGAGUGAAGCGGGAAGAGCUCAAAUUUGAAAUCUUAAAGGGUUUCCCUUUACGAAUUGUAGUUUAAAGAAGUGUUUUCUGUUGAGGUUUUGGUAAAAGUUCUUUGGAAUAGGACAUCAUAGAGGGUGAGAAUCCCGUAUUUGACCUUUACUUUCAACUUUGUGAUACACUUUCAAAGAGUCGGAUUGUUUGGGAAUGCAGUCCAAAAUGGGUGGUAAAUUUCAUCUAAAGCUAAAUAUUGGCGAGAGAGACCGAUAGCGAACAAGUACCGUGAGGGAAAGAUGAAAAGAACUUUGAAAAGAGAGUUAAACAGUACGUGAAAUUGUCAAAAGGGAAGCGUUUGACACCAGUGUUGUUUUUCUGAAAAUCAAUUAAAGAACUGUUUAUGCUAAGUUGUUUAGACUUUAUCAGCUAACUGUUUAGUUUUGAGCUUUUCUUUAAUGCACUUUUCAGUUAACAAGUCAACAUCAAUUUCUUUUGCUGUAAAAAAGCUUGAGGAAGGUGGCUUGAGAUUCGUCUUAAGUGUUUAUAGCCUCUUGCCUAUGCAGUCGGAGAGAUUGAGGUCUGCAGCGUAGAUCCUUCGGGGCUAAAUGCAUUUGUGCUAAGUUAUAGCAUUUUAUAGACAACUUGUUGACUAUGAUUUGUCUUGUAGCUUACUCGCUUAUGUUAUUUUACCUACGCUUAGGAUGUUGAAGAUGUAGCACAUCAU